ensembl:misc_RNA Metazoa_SRP Metazoan signal recognition particle RNA
GCCGAGUGUGUUGGUGCACACCUGUGUCCCAGUUCCUUGGGAGGCUGAGGUGGGAGGAUCACUUGAGCCCAGGAGGUUGAGGCUGCAGUGAGCCAUGAGUAGACCACUGCACUCCAGCCUGGGCAACAAAGUGAGACUCUGUCUCACAAAUAAAUAAAUAAAUAAAUACAAGGGAGGCUGAGGCAGGAGUUCAAAGCUGCAGUGAGAUAUGAUCAGGCCACUUUACUCCACCCUGGGCAACACAGUGAGCCCCUGUCUCU